GCCUCGUUGGCGCAGUAGGCAGCGCGUGAGUCUCAUAAUCUCAAGGUCGUGUGUUCGAUCCUCACUCGGGGCA
rnacentral:tRNA from 1 species